GGCCAAAGUAGGUGGUUUCUGGAGAGGCAAGUAGCCUUGUGGGUUACAGCGUUGGGGCGGUAAACGACAUCAAAUCCCCGGGCUGACAAGAUACCUUGUAACUGGAGAUUCUUUCAAAAUGAUUUCCUACAGUUCCCAUGUCGGGCUCUGCAAGGUUAGGUGACCAGGGCCAUCUGGGACUGCCUCCUGGAGGAAUUCAGGUGUGUGAAGGCUACCAGUGUCCUGCAUAACUUCAUGAGGUUGGACAUGAGGACCAGGAGGGGAUCUGCAGCUCACCGCCGUGUGCCAGAGGAGAAGUCUGCUGCUCUGCAGGAAGUUUCCAGGAUGGGGUCCAACAACGCAGCAAAGGGAGGCUAUCCAGGAGAUCUUCAGCUUCUACUUCUUUGAAGAGGGUGCUGUUCCCUGGCAACAUCAGACACUACACACAACCAAAGACUCUUCUAUUUAUUUUUUUGGACUUAAAGCUCAAAGUUUGUGGACCACAAAUGGAUAGAAGAAGAAUAUUAAUAUAACUCUGUUGCACUUGACUAUGUUCUUGCCUAUUAGUUGAACUGUACUGUAUUAUACACUUUCCCUGCAAUUCUCUGAAUAAAAAUGUCAAUUUCAAGGUGACGCAA